rnacentral:rRNA from 1 species
GACGAACGCUGGCGGCGUGCCUAAUACAUGCAAGUCGAACGGAGUGGCGGACGGGUGAGUAAUAUAUCGGAACGUGCCUAGUAGCGGGGGAUAACUACUCGAAAGAGUGGCUAAUACCGCAUACUAUUGGAGCGGCCGAUAUGGGAUUAGCUAGUUGGGGGGGUAAAGGCUCACCAAGGCAACGAUCCGUAGCUGGUCUGAGAGGACGACCAGCCACACUGGGACUGUGCAAAGGUCCAGACUCCUACGGGAGGCAGCAGUGGGGAAUAUUGGACAAUGGGCGCAAGCCUGAUACAGCCAUGCCGCGGGUGUGAAGAAGGGCUUCGGGUUGUAAAUCACUUUCGGCGAGGAAGCGUUACUUGCAGAAGAAGCACCGGCUAACUCCGUGCCAGCAGCCGCGGUAAUAC